rnacentral:rRNA from 1 species
CAAGGCGACGAUCCCUAGCUGGUCUGAGAGGAUGACCAGCCACACUGGAACUGAGACACGGUCCAGACUCCUACGGGAGGCAGCAGUGGGGAAUAUUGCACAAUGGGCGCAAGCCUGAUGCAGCCAUGCCGCGUGUAUGAAGAAGGCCUUCGGGUUGUAAAGUACUUUCAGCGGGGAGGAAGGUGUUGUGGUUAAUAACCGCAGCAAUUGACGUUACCCGCAGAAGAAGCACCGGCUAACUCCGUGCCAGCAGCCGCGGUAAUACGGAGGGUGCAAGCGUUAAUCGGAAUUACUGGGCGUAAAGCGCACGCAGGCGGUCUGUCAAGUCGGAUGUGAAAUCCCCGGGCUCAACCUGGGAACUGCAUUCGAAACUGGCAGGCUUGAGUCUUGUAGAGGGGGGUAGAAUUCCAGGUGUAGCGGUGAAAUGCGUAGAGAUCUGGAGGAAUACCGGUGGCGAAGGCGGCCCCCUGGACAAAGACUGACGCUCAGGUGC